rnacentral:RNase_P_RNA from 2 species
CCAGAGGGUCGGGCGAUCGCCGCCGCGCGUCAGCGCGGGGGAGGAAAGUCCGGGCUCCACGGAAACCACGGUGCCGGAUAACGUCCGGCGGCUUCGGGCAACCGGAGUCAGGGAAAGUGCCACAGAGAGAAGACCGCCAAAGGCUUCGGCCCGGCGAAAGGUGAAAGGGUGCGGUAAGAGCGCACCGCGCGGACGGUAACGGACGCGGCACGGCAAACCCCACCGGGAGCAAGGUCGAAUAGGGAUGGCAUGGGGUGACCCAGGGCUGGUUCCGGCCCCGCCGUCCGGGUUGACUGCUUGAGCGUCCGGGCAACCGGCCGCCUAGAGGAAUGAUCGCCCAUCCCCGGAAACGGGGUGGACAGAACCCGGCUUACAGACCCUCUGGCCAU